rnacentral:lncRNA from 1 species
UGGGCUGAACCAAUUUUUGUUACCUUUGUAUUUUAUUAUAAUUAUAACUGUAAUAAAUUACAUGACAAUCUUAUCAUACUAACGGAACUAAUUUCACACUGUGCUAUUCUCGGCCGACUCUAAAAAAAAUCACGGCAACGCCGCGACCUAUGCACGAGUAUUGUACUAGUUAUAAUAAAAAUGAAACAGAAGUGCACUCAAGAAAGUUGUUGCAUAUUAUUAUUAUUUACAUAUAUGAAAUGAGAGUUUAGAGUCUGAUCUAGCGACUCUGAUUACUGCAAUUACUUAUUUGCCAUUAUUUCCUUUACAGACAAUGGACCUCAUACAUAC